rnacentral:sRNA from 1 species
UGUACAGAAAGUGAUGACAUUGAAUUGU